AUAUUUUAGUUUUUAUUCUUUCUGACCAUGUGUAAAAUUUAAUAACAAAAUGGAUCUUGCAUGCUUUUAGCAAGUUGUGUAAUUAUAUAUAGUUAUAUAGUUUCUAAUAUUGUGUUCAUUUAUAUUUAGGUGGACCCAGCAAAAUAUGAUGUAUUGUUGGGUAUUGUCAAUGAAUGUCACCACUGGUUUUUGAUGGUAAAUGCUUCUGAUUUGAAAACGGACUCUUCUUGAAACUUUCCCUAUUCUCAAGUUUUUUUAUUUUUAUUUUUUGUUAAAUCUAGGCUAUAUACCCAGCCCAAAGGAAAGCUAUUCUUCUUGAUUCUCUUGGAGAGACUGAGGUGAAGAAAAAGAAGUGUUUGGAAACGGCAAGCGCAAUUAUGAAGAAACUUCCAGUUUCACAUUGGGUGUGUGAAACACUGCCUCACCCACAUCAAAAAGAUGGAACAUCAUGUGGUGUGUUUGCGUUGAAGUUUGCAGAAUACAUCCUUAAAGAGAAGGAAAUUGACUUCUGCAGUGCACCACAAGAAGUGAAACGACUCCGAUUAGAGAUUGCAUCAACACUUCUUGACCAAUCUGGUAUGUUUUUAUUCGUGUUUAACUUAAUUUUCAGUGCGUUUAUGCAUUUUCAGAACUUACUUAAAAUUCACAAAAGAAAUUUAAACAGCUCAUUUUAUCUCAUAGAUGAUCUAAGUGACCUGUGUCACUUUUGUGGGGAGGCAGAGACAUUUGAUGAAUCUGAGAAUUUUCUCUGGGUAACAACAUUUGUCUUUUUUUUUUUUUUUUUUUUUU